AAAAUUUUUUUAACAAAAAUAAUAGGAUAAAUAUAUUUUAUAAAUUUUUAUAAAUGAUUAAUAAUAAAAUAUUAAUAUAAAACAUAAAAUUUUAGUAAAGUUUAUUAAAAAUUUUUAUAUACCUAUAAAUAAAAACUUUGAAGGUAAUUUGAAUUAAAAUAAAAUUAAGUAAAAAAAAGAAAGAAUUAAUCUUUACCUUUUGUAUUAUGGGAAGCUAAAAUAAAAAUUAAUAUUAAUUUUUAACGAAACAGUAUGAGUUAUUUGUUUCCCUAAAAUUGUUAGGAAGUCUAACUGUAGAAAAAGUAAGGCUAGAGGGACAAAUGGUAAUGAAAUGUUAAUCGAAUACUGUAAUAGCUUUUUCUUAGGGAAAUUAGUGUAAGCUAAAAUAGAAAUUUUUCUUUGGAUAAUUUGUUGGCUGAUCAACAUAUUAUUGGAGGUAAUAACCUUAAGUUAGAAGAAAGGACAAUAAAACUAUUUGAUAUUAUUAGUAGUAGGAUUCAAGCAUUCUUCUAGAAAGAGAGCGUUUGAGCUUCUUUUAAUAUAAAGAUAAAUUAUUGAAAUAAAAAUCCGUUCUUUCCGCUCUGUACCUGAGUAAUAAAAAAGUUUUAUGAAAUAAUGGCUUUAUUAGUAAGAUUAGCUCACUUUAAGUUAUAAAAAUAGUUGUAAUAAAAAAAGUAUUACUAAAAAAUUAUAUUCUUAUCUUAGAGGGUUUUAUAAAUUUAAUAUUAGGAGAGGAACUCGGCAAAAAUUUUUCUCGCCUGUUUACCUAAAACAUCGCCCUUGGAAUUAAUAUCAAAGGGUCCUGCCUGCCCGGUGAUCUUAAAAGAUUAAACGGCUGCGGUACUCUGACCGUGCAAAGGUAGCAUAAUCAUUUGCCUGUUAAUUCCAGGCUGGAAUCAACGGCUAGACGAAGAAAAUACUGUCUUUCUUAAUAAAAUUUUGAAUUUAGUAUUCUGGUGAAGAAACCAGAAUUUUAUAGUGGGACGAGAAGACCCUAUUGAGCUUUAAUAUUUAAUUAUUAAAAUAAAUAAUUAGUAUAUUUUAGUUGGGGCAACUAACUUUUUAGUAAGACAAAGUUAAAAAUAAUAAAUUAAAUUUUAUAAUGACCCAAAAUAAUUUUGGUAAAAAGAAAAAGUUACCAUAGGGAUAACAGCGUAAUUUUCUUUGAGAGUACAUAUUGACAAGAAAGUUUGCGAACUCGAUGUUGGAUCAAGAUAUCCUAAAGGUGCAGCAGCUUCUAAGGGUGGGUUUGUUCAACCUUUAAACUCUUACGCGAUCUGAGUUCAGUCCGUUGUAAGACAGGACAGUUUCUAUCUACUAAAAUUUUCUUUUUGUACGAAAGGACUCUAGAAAAAUAAAUUAAGGUUUUAACCUUUUUAUAAAAAAAAUAAGAAAACAUAAAAC
rnacentral:rRNA from 1 species